rnacentral:tRNA from 1 species
GGGGAAGUGUCGGAAUUGGUAGACGGGCAUGACUUAGGAUCAUGUGCAGCAAUGCGUGCGGGUUCGAGUCCCGCCUUCCCCA